AAUUCAAAAUAACCACUCUAAGUUAUAUCUGAUUCUGUACCAAAAUCCAACGAAGUUUGUCGUCACUCGUGUUACACAUUUUGCAACAAGAUAUAUUUCGUUUGCCACUGUAUUAAAGAUUCUUACUUACUAGAACGUGCUUCUUCUCAGUGUGAUCGAUAGAAUCGAUGGAAAAGUUGAAUAAGUCAACGGGUAGACUCGGCGAAAUGCUCUUACAAAUUUCAAAGGUCAAUCUAAUCUGAUGCGAUGUUUUUUAUGUUGAUAUUGAAGCUGUGCGAUGUAUUGACUCAUUGUUUCUAAAGUAUUUUAAUUAUCAUCGACUCUUGCGAUCAUCGGUAUUCCCAAAACAUUAUUUAUACUUGACCCUCUGCGGUACCCCUGAGUCUUCUGAAGCACAACCUGAAUUUUUUCCUUAAAUAUCUCCGAUAUGCAAGAAGAGCUGGACCUGGCUCCGGUCCCUAAACAAAGUUAUUGGUAGUGAGGACUUGAGAGCUAAGAGACGACUAAGUCCGGCAGUCUGUUGGUAAAUAGUAAUAAAGAGUACAAAUCAAUUGUGUGCCAUGAAAGACCCAGGAGUUUGGCGGCAUUAGUGGUUUGCAAUAGUAUGGCAGAGAGGAGCACCGAGGAAGUACGUCAUUAUUCCAGAAUUUUGAUGAGGCUUUUGACGAAGAAGAGGACGGAAAAGAAGUUGAAGAGUUAUUUCCGACAGUCAGAAUGCCGAUCAAGAUUAUCUCAUUUUCGAAUGUCUAAAUAAAUAUACUUUUUUGAGCCGUGGAAA